GCAAAACGUAGCAACACUGGAAAUGACAAGUGGAUGACUCUGUGAUUAUCGUGGGCUGUGAAUGGCACUCUCCAGCAAACAACAGUCCAUCUGUGUUUCCGGUGUCGUGGAAAUUCCGCCUUUUUCUGUCUUCCAUUGCUUUGGCUCUGGCAUUUCUUCUGACCAUUUCCGGGCUCUUUCCUGGCACUGACACUCUUCCCAACCACUCCAGACGCACUCGGUGUAGAGUCACAAAUAGAUUGAGAGACUUUUCGAUGAGAUAAGCUAAGCACAGAGGUACCAAUCAUGCUGAUAAAAUUCAUUCGCUCAGUCGCUCUCAGUACUCCCGGAAAGCCAGUUGCUCUGCUCGGCAAUUUUCCAGCACUUCAGAGAUUGAGCCACAGGAACAACAUGAACUCACGCAUCACCUUCACGGAGGAUUUCUUCUUCCGGCAGCUAUUUGACCACCAGAGUAGCACUUACACGUACAUGUUGGCGGAUCUGGGCACCAAAGAGGCUGUGCUAAUUGAUCCUGUCCUGGAGCAGGCUAAGAGAGACUCCCACCUAAUUCAGGAGCUGGGACUCACUCUCAAGUACGCUCUGAACACUCAUAUGCACGCGGACCAUGUCACAGGAACGGGGUACCUGAAGAAACUCUUGCCAGGAUGCGUGAGUGUUAUCUCGAAGGAAAGUGGAGCCAAGGCGGAUGAGUACCUGGAGAGUGGGGAUAAGGUUCAGUUUGGGAGGCAUGAGAUUGAGGCUGUGUCUACUCCUGGUCAUACAAAUGGCUGCAUGACUUUUAUCAUCAAGGAACAAGGAAUCGCUUUCACGGGAGACACUUUGCUGAUAAGAGGCUGUGGACGUACGGACUUUCAAGAGGGCAAUCCAAGGACACUCUAUGAAUCUGUCCAUCAGAAUAUCUUUACGCUCCCAGAGAACUUUAGACUAUUUCCAGCACAUGAUUACAAGGGAAACAUGGAGACGACGGUGUUUGAGGAGCGAAACUACAACCCACGCCUCUCAAAGGACAUCGAUACAUUUGUCAGCAUCAUGGAAAACUUGAACCUUCCCUAUCCCAAAAUGAUUGACAAAGCCCUACCGGCCAAUAGAGAGUGUGGUGUCUAUGACAUCCCUGAGGAAUGAGAGUAAUACAAAAGCCUCAGCUUUCGAGAUGACCAAAGUAUUUGUUAGGGUUUGAAGAAUUUUCAAUUACCAAACACACGUAACAGAGUUCGUUAUUCCGAGGAAAAUCACCCUCAAUCACUUGCAGAUUGUUGGCCACUGUGUCAUUUUGUCACCUCACUUUUCAACUCUUCUCUCUGUAGCUAAAUUUCCUGGACAUUUCGUUGGUGGAAUGAGGGAUUUUCUAGCAUUAAAUAAAAGUUUUCUGAUGAGGAAACUUGGCAAAGUUCUGUAAGCGUCUUUGUGAUGUUUUGGGAGGAUGUAAAGAAAAUUUAGAAUGUUUCAUUUCAAAA